rnacentral:rRNA from 1 species
GACGAACGCUGGCGGCGUGCCUAAUACAUGCAAGUAGAACGCUGAAGAGAGGAGCUUGCUCUUCUUGGAUGAGUUGCGAACGGGUGAGUAACGCGUAGGUAACCUGCCUUGUAGCGGGGGAUAACUAUUGGAAACGAUAGCUAAUACCGCAUAACAAUGGAUGACACAUGUCAUUUAUUUGAAAGGGGCAAUUGCUCCACUACAAGAUGGACCUGCGUUGUAUUAGCUAGUAGGUGAGGUAAUGGCUCACCUAGGCGACGAUACAUAGCCGACCUGAGAGGGUGAUCGGCCACACUGGGACUGAGACACGGCCCAGACUCCUACGGGAGGCAGCAGUAGGGAAUCUUCGGCAAUGGGGGCAACCCUGACCGAGCAACGCCGCGUGAGUGAAGAAGGUUUUCGGAUCGUAAAGCUCUGUUGUAAGUUAAGAACGGGUGUGAGAGUGGAAAGUUCACACUGUGACGGUAGCUUACCAGAAAGGGACGGCUAACUACGUG